AUCAAGAGGCCAUAAGAAAACUGUCAAGAUCAGCGCCGCACAGGCAGAGGACCAUCUUGUUAGAUUUGUUAAGCAUGGAGCCAGCCUCACUAAAUUCCUGGAGAAAGUUGAUGCCAGACAGCCUUUCCUCCUCUGCACUGGACAACAUAAGAAGAAAGUCGAGAGAUUCUUCAUCGUUGUGGACAACAAACCCAUGCAACGCCCUGACGUCGGUAUGGGAGGAAGUUCGCCCACUUUACUGAGGAAGGAAAAUCCACCCUGAAGCAACACCUAACCCUAACCUGUCUGCAGGAAAACGAAACAAAAAAGGACACUUUCAAGCUGCACAGUGGGCAGUGGAGUUACCAUGGACAAAGAUGUCUUCAGCUUCAAAGAAGACACAUCUCUCGUUUAACCAACCAUUAAGUCAUUUAUUGGUACAGGCUUUAAUAAUUAAAAUACUUUUGGUAUGGAGCUUUUUAUAUUCUAAGGUUUAUGCCAAUAUUUGGAGGUGAGAACAUGAUGCCACUGCAUGUUAAGUCUCUAGUGCAAUCUGCUGUCUUCCGCUUUAGCCAAUAAUAGUAUCAUCACAAUGUUCGAGUUGGGGUUUACGACACACAUUUUUGGAUUUAUUGGGAGCUUUUCAAUACAAUAAUAAGGUUCCAAGUACUGAUUCUCUGUUGCCACUGGUUUACUUUUAUUUCUUUUCUAGAUAGAAAUAGUCUGAAAUGUCUUAAGCAUGGGAUUUUUAAAAAGCUUACAAAAUUAAGAAAAACAUGCUUUUAACAGAUUUAACAGAGGCUAUGUGGCUUUCCUUAAGAAGAAGGAGAGGAGAUGCUCUUUGCGUCUGAGUUCAUGAUCCAGGUUGAUCCACAACCAGUCACAACAUUCCUAAAAGCUGUUGUGUGUUAAGCUGCACACUCAAUAAAAGUUAUUCAAAUGUUAAAACGGUUUGUAAACCU
ensembl:lncRNA